AGACAAUCAGGGGCCCCGUGUGGGGAGGGCGUAUGCUCUCGGCGGGCUAGAGCGCCGCUAAAACGCGCUCUUCGUUCUACUUGGAGGACUUGUUCCAGCCAGCGUGAGUGCGCGAGUGUAAGGAGAGACGGGAAGGAUCGGCUCCAUCCAGCCCUGAGGAUCCCAAAGAAAGGGUGGAAACACCCUGGAUGUGCUAAGCUGUGGCCAGGUACACUCAAGUGUUAAUUUUUUGGAGUCAAAGCCUCCCUCAGUCAGAUCGAAGAAACUGAAGCACUUGUGACUGACCCAGAUCUUCACGGAGGAAAGGGGAUUCGAACCCGGCUGACCCAGGAGCCUGGGCUCUAUACUCAGUGCAGCAUUCUCACAGACACCCAAGAUAACGUUAUCCUCAUGGAAACGAGCUCGACGAAGUGACCUACCCCAGAGCCUCAAGGCUGUGAUGAUGCUGGCAUGAGAAACAACAGGAGAGUUACCAAGAGGUGUUACCCCCUUGACUUUAUUUAUUUAUUUAUUUAUUUAUUUAUUUAUUUAUUUAUUUUCUUUUGAGACCGAGUCUUGCCCUGUUGCCCAGGUGGAGUGCAGUGGCGUGAUCUCAGCUCACUGCAACCUCCGCCUCCCCAGUUCAAGCAAUUCUCUUGCCUCAGCCUCCCAAGUAGCUGGGAUUACAGGCGCAUGCCACCACACCCGGCUAAUUUUCGUAUUUUUAGUGGAGACGGGGUUGCACUGUGUUGGCCAGGCUGGUCUUGAACUCAUGACCUCAGGUCAUCCACCCGCCUCGGACUCCCAAAGUGCUGGGAUUACAAGCGUGAGCCACCGCACCCGGCCAAACUUAAAUUUUUAAAAGAGGAACAGAAGUCAGCCAGACCAACAAAAGAGCGACUGGUGUUCCAAGCAUAGGAAACAGAGGAAACAGAGGCCAAAACCUCGGGACUGUGGAGGAUGUAGAGGGAGAGCCGGGGCUGCCCCUACUCUCAGGGAGGGGGAAAGGUUGCAACUUUGGAAACUGUACAGGCCUAUCAAAAAUACAAAAAUAUCCAGCCUGGGUGACACGGUGAAACUCCAUCUCUACAAAAAAUUUAAAAAAUAAAAAUAAUAAAAAUUAUCUGGGUGUGAUGGCACACACCUGUAGUCCCAGCUACUCGGGAGGCUGAGGAUUGCUUGAGCCUGGGAGAUAGCACCACUGCAC
rnacentral:lncRNA from 10 species